CAGCCGCCGCGGUAAUACGAAUGGUGCAAGCGUUAAUCGGAAUUACUGGGCGUAAAGCGUGCGUAGGCGGUGAGUUAAGUCUGCUGUGAAAUCCCCGGGCUCAACCUGGGAAUGGCAGUGGAUACUGGCUCGCUAGAGUGUGUCAGAGGAUGGUGGAAUUCCCGGUGUAGCGGUGAAAUGCGUAGAGAUCGGGAGGAACAUCAGUGGCGAAGGCGGCCAUCUGGGACAACACUGACGCUGAGGCACGAAAGCGUGGGGAGCAAACAGGAUUAGAUACCCGCGUAGUCCCUGUCUCUUAUAC
rnacentral:rRNA from 1 species